GUCCCUGUAGCGCAGUGUAUUGCGCGUUGGACUUCUAAUUCCAAGGUCGUGCGUUCAAAUCCCACCAGGGAUG
rnacentral:tRNA from 1 species